AUACCCGCGGCCCAAGUGGUGGUCGAUAUUAUUGAGCCUAAAACGUCCGUAGCCGGUCUUGUAAACCCUUGGGUAAAUCGACCAGCUUAACUGUUCGAAGUCCGGGGAGACUGCAAGACUUGGGAUCGGGAGAGGUGAGAGGUACUUCUGGGGUAGGGGUAAAAUCCUGUAGUCCUAGAAGGACCACCGGUGGCGAAGGCGUCUCACUAGAACGAAUCCGACGGUGAGGGACGAAGCCCUGGGGCGCAAACGGGAUUAGAUACCCCGGUAGUCCAGGGUGUAAACGCUGCGGGCUUGGUGUUGGGGGUCCUUUGAGGGCGCCCAGUGCCGGAGAGAAGUUGUUAAGCCUGCUGCUUGGGGAGUACGUCCGCAAGGAUGAA
rnacentral:rRNA from 1 species